rnacentral:rRNA from 1 species
AUGCUUGUCUCAAAGAUUAAGCCAUGCAUGUCUAAGUAUAAACAACUUUAUACUGUGAAACUGCGAAUGGCUCAUUAAAUCAGUUAUAGUUUAUUUGAUAGUACUUACUACUUGGAUAACCGUGGUAAUUCUAGAGCUAAUACAUGCGAAAAGACCCGACUUCUGGAAGGGUUGUAUUUAUUAGAUAAAAAACCAAUCGGGGCAACCCGUUUGUGGUGAUUCAUAAUAACUUUGCGAAUCGCAUGGCCUUGUGCCGGCGAUGAAUCAUUCAAAUUUCUGCCCUAUCAACUUUCGAUGGUAAGGUAUUGGCUUACCAUGGUUGCAACGGGUAACGGGGAAUA